GACGAACGCUGGCGGCGUGCUUAACACAUGCAAGUCGAACGGAAAGGCCCUUUCGGGGGUACUCGAGUGGCGAACGGGUGAGUAACACGUGGGUGAUCUGCCCUGCACUUUGGGAUAAGCCUGGGAAACUGGGUCUAAUACCGAAUAGGAUCACGCGCCUCAUGGUGUGUGGUGGAAAGCUUUUGCGGUGUGGGAUGGGC
rnacentral:rRNA from 1 species